AGCGAACGCUGGCGGCAUGCCUAACACAUGCAAGUCGAACGAAGCCUUCGGGCUUAGUGGCGGACGGGUGAGUAACACGUGGGAACGCACCUUUUGGCUCGGAACAAGGCAGGGAAACUUGAGCUAAUACCGGAUGAGGCCUUAGGGGGAAACAUUUAUCUCCGAAAGAGCGGCCCUCGUUAGAUUAUCUAGUUGGUGAGGUAAAGGCCAACCAAGGCAACGCUCUAUAGAUUGUCUGAGAGAAUGAUCGGCGACACUGGGACGGUGAAACGGUCCAGACUCCUACGGGAAGCAGCAGUGGGGAAUCUUGCGCAAUGGGCGAAAGCCUGACGCAGACAUGCCGCGUGAAUGAUGAAGGUCUUAGGAUUGUAAAAUUCUUUUACCAGGGAAGAUAAUGACGGUACCUGGAGAAAAAGCCCCGGCUAACUUCGUGCCAGCAGCCGCUGUAAAAC
rnacentral:rRNA from 1 species